CAGUCGCCGCGGGAAUACGGAGGGUGCAAGCGUUAAUCGGAAUUACUGGGCGUAAAGCGCACGCAGGCGGUUUGUUAAGUCAGAUGUGAAAUCCCCGGGCUCAACCUGGGAACUGCAUUUGAAACUGGCAAGCUAGAGUCUCGUAGAGGGGGGUAGAAUUCCAGGUGUAGCGGUGAAAUGCGUAGAGAUCUGGAGGAAUACCGGUGGCGAAGGCGGCCCCCUGGACAAAGACUGACGCUCAGGUGCGAAAGCGUGGGGAGCAAACAGGAUUAGAUACCCGUGUAGUCCCUGUCUCUUAUAC
rnacentral:rRNA from 1 species